AUUGAACGCUGGCGGCAGGCCUAACACAUGCAAGUCGAGCGGAUGAAGGGAGCUUGCUCCUGGAUUCAGCGGCGGACGGGUGAGUAAUGCCUAGGAAUCUGCCUGGUAGUGGGGGAUAACGUCCGGAAACGGGCGCUAAUACCGCAUACGUCCUGAGGGAGAAAGUGGGGGAUCUUCGGACCUCACGCUAUCAGAUGAGCCUAGGUCGGAUUAGCUAGUUGGUGGGGUAAAGGCCUACCAAGGCGACGAUCCGUAACUGGUCUGAGAGGAUGAUCAGUCACACUGGAACUGAGACACGGUCCCGACUCCUACGGGAAGCAACAGUGGGGAAUAUUGGACAAUGGGCGAGAGCCUGAUCCAGCCAUGCCGCGUGUGUGAAGAAGGUCUUCGGAUUGUAAAGCACUUUAAGUUGGGAGGAAGGGCAGUAAGUUAAUACCUUGCUGUUUUGACGUUACCAACAGAAUAAGCACCGGCUAACUUCGUG
rnacentral:rRNA from 1 species